UACCCCUCUACUUUGAAAAAUUGACCAUAUUUACCCUUCGUCAUACUUUGGGGCUAUAUAUACCCUUGCCAUUAUAAAACUUUACAUAUCUACACCUCAACUAACAGAAUAACCCAAUUCAUUUUAAAUGACCCAUUUUUUAUUUUAAAACCAAACCCGACCCGACCCAUAUUAAAAGACCAAAAAAAUACCAUUUUCUCACAUACCUAAACCCACAACACGCAUUGACCCAAACAAAUACACAAUAACAUUUUCUCACAUACAUUUCACUUCUUCUCACCCUCACAGCCUCAUCGAAAGACAUUCAAUCGAGAGAGGAGAGUUCUGGCAAUGGAAAACCUGUUUCUCAUCUAAGAUUUUCAGAUCUAUUGAGACAAUCUCUGUAAAGAUUAUCUAAAAUAGUGCUAAUUGACUUGGUAUUCCACUAUGGCGGGGAGUGGAUAAAAGAGCAAAAAAUACUAUAUUCAAGAAAGUUGGUGUGCAAAUGGGAAGGGUAUGAUUUUGAUCUCUUAUCUUUUAUAGAUAUUGUGAACGAAUACAAUGGUACAUUGGGAUUUCUUGGUGUUCAACAAGUGAUUGUGUCUUUUCCUUCUAGAAAAUACUAUGAAAUAAUAGGUGAUCAGGGAAUUAGAACAUUAUUGUCUUAUGUGAAUGAUAAAUUUGAUGUUAUAAACUUGUUUGCUGUUGAAGAUAGUGAAUUACCUAUUGAUGUUGAGAACAUAGUUAGAUUGAAAGAGUCUGUGGUAGAGGUUGAUGAAGCAGAUAGUGAAGAUAGUGAUUGCAACUCUGAUGAAACUGAUAAUGAUGGUGGUAAUGACUCUGAUUAUUCUGAUUAUGAUUUUGAGGAGUUAGAGGUUCUCGCAAAAGAAAUAAAAAGGAUAAUCAAUGACAAGUUGUCUGAAUGCAAGGAGUUACAUAGGUUAUGACUUUUAAAUAUAUAGAUGAAGCUAGAAGAUUCAUUAGCUUGCAUGCAUUAGCAAAUGACUAUAACCUAACUAUAAAAAAAAUGACUUAAAAAGAUUUAGGGUUGUUUGUCAGAAAGUGUGCAACUUUGUUUGCCUAAUUUCUGGUGAGAAAAUUGUCCUAGUGUUAGUGUGAAAACAUUAACAGAAAACCAUAAAUGUGAUGAUCCAUAUGGUAACUAUAAGGUUUCAGCAGCUACACUUUCUUAUUACUUCAAGGAAAAGUUGCAAGCUAACCCCAAAUAUAAGAUCAAAGACAUGAGAGUUGAUCUCAAAACUUCAUUCAAUAUUAAUUCUUCUUUUGGGAAGUGUAAGAAAGCUAAAAUGAUGAUUUUGGAAAAAAUGGAAGGCAGUUUUUGUGAUGACUAUAAAAAGCUUGUUGGAUAUACAAAUGUUCUAUUGGAGAGUAAUAUAGGGAGUGAUGUUAGCCUUAAGGUUUUACUAGCUGAAGGAAAAAGAUAGUUUUUGAGAAUGUAUAUCUGUUUUGAUGCACUGAAGAAGGGGUUUAAAUCUGGUUUGAGACAUUUCAUUGGAUUAGAUAGAACUUUUUUGAAAGGUAAAGCCAAAGGUCAACUCUUAUGUGCUGUUGGUCAAGACUUAAUGAACCAUAUUUAUCCUAUUGCUUGGGCCAUCGUGGAAAAAGAAUUCAAAGCUUCUUGGCUUUGGUUUGUGGAAUUGCUUCAGCAGUCUUUAAGCCUCAACAAUGGAGAAUGGGUCACAUAAAUCUCAGAUCUGCAAAAGGGACUGCAUGAAGCAGUCAAAAUUGUUCUACCUAGUACAAUGCAUAGCUACUAUAUGAGACACGUAGAGGCUAAUUGGAGAAGACAUGCAAAAAUAUCUAAAUAAAUGUCUAAGAUGGUGCGGUGGUGUGAAUGGAGCACCUACAAAUAGAAGCUAGAUGAUAAUUUGAAGAAAUUGGCUGAAUUGUCAUAAGAAGCCAAAGACGAGCUGCUGCAUUUUCCAAUAUAAACUUGGUAUAGAGUAUUUUAGACACAGUUUGCAAGAAUCAGAAGGUGGAAAAUAACUUGGAUGAGUCACUCAACUCAUGGAUAUUGGAAGCAAGGCACAAACCCAUCAUUGGGAUGCUUGAGGCUAUCAGAAUAAAGGUAAUGAAGAAGUUUGAGAAACAUGAAAAAGAUGUGAAGUCUUAGGAUACUAAAUGGAGUCCAAAAGCUAUUGAGAUGUACAAUGAAUACUUGAAAAUUUCUAAUGUGUGUGAAUUAAAUUUCAAUGAUGAUUAUGGGUAUGAGAUUAGUUAGGGAAAUGACAAACACAUUGUCAAUUUGCAAAAUAAGAGGUGUAGUUGUAGGGUAUGCAAACUUACUGGAAUACUUUGUCCCCAUGCAAUCAAGGCACUUCUUUAUAAGGAGAGUGAUCCUAGGUAAGAGAUCCACUGGUGGUACACAAAGGAGGCAUAUCUCUUGACUUAUCAUUCAAAGCUGGAACUAGUGCCUGGCCCUAAGUUCUAGAAAAUUGAUCUAGUAAAAGAAAUAGAACCACCCCCUUUGGUAACCCUGGUUGGCAGACCUGCAAGGACAAGGAAAAAAGAUAAAGAUGAAGCACUUUAGAGGCAAGCUGAGUGGGCUGGAACAAGGCGAGGUAGAGUUAUGACUUGUUCAAUUUGUGGACUUCCAGGACACAAUGCCAAGGGUUGUCAAAAGUUUCACAAAAUGAGUGGUGAAGGCACUUCUAAGUCUGGCCAGUUGAAGAUUAAGAAACAAAUGAAAGACAAACAACCAAUGAAGGGCAAGCAGUCAAUGAAGAGGUGAAGAACACUAAUUGAUGAAGAAUAUGUAGAACCAUGCCUCCCAGAUUCCUAGAUCAUGCAAUAGUUGAGGACGUGGCUUUGACAGCUCCACAGGCUAGUCAAGACAGCACGUCAACUCAAUGUCAUCUUCUCUUUGGCAAGUACUUUGAGUAUCGUGGUCUUGAAGUUGAAAAAGAUGUACCUUGAAAGCCAAGAAGUGUUUCAGAGUUCAAGUCUAAAAUAUUACAAAGAUAGAAACAAACAAAAUCAAUUGGUUCAAGACAAAUCAAGUUUCUUCAUGAUGCUAUAGGUUCAACUAAACCAAGUGAAUUGUAUGCACCAAAAGUGCUCUCGUGGAAUGAUAAUACAUCUAUUACCGGGAGAUAGUUGAAGAAAUUAAGAAUGGAUAAGCUUAAGACUAGAAAAGGUAAUGGCAAGGCACAACAGUGAAAAUGUAAUAUUGGCAUGUUUUGUGUAUUAAGACAAGGGAAUGGUCAAUAUUUGAUGGUGACAAUGGAUGUUCUUUUUUUUUUGUUAAAAUUAUAAACCUGUAUUUUUGUUGCAACUUUUUGGGAU